rnacentral:rRNA from 1 species
AUACGGAGGAUGCGAGCGUUAUCCGGAUUUAUUGGGUUUAAAGGGAGCGUAGGCGGGAGCUUAAGUCAGCGGUUAAAUGGUGCGGCUCAACCGUGCCCUGCCGUUGAAACUGGGUUUCUUGAGAGUGCAAGAGGCGGAUGGAAUUCAUGGUGUAGCGGUGAAAUGCUUAGAUAUCAUGAAGAACUCCGAUUGCGAAGGCAGUCCGCUGGGGCACGUCUGACGCUGAUGCUCGAAGGUGCGGGAAUCAAACAGGAUUAGAUACCCUGGUAGUCCGCACGGUAAACGAUGAUUACCCGCUGUCGGCGGCAGACAGUCGGCGGCCAAGCGAAAGCGAUAAGUAAUCCACCUGGGGGGUACGCCGGCAACGGUGAAACUCAAAUGAAUUGACGGGG